rnacentral:misc_RNA from 1 species
GAAAUGCGAUAAGUAAUGUGAAUUGCAGAAUUCAGUGAAUCAUCGAAUCUUUGAACGCACAUUGCGCCCCCUGGUAUUCCGGGGGGCAUGCCUGUUCGAGCGUCAUUUCACCACUCAAGCCUCGCUUGGUAUUGGGCGACGCGGUCCGCCGCGCGCCUCAAAUCGACCGGCUGGGUCUUUCGCCCCCUCAGCGUUGUGGAAACUAUUCGCUAAAGGGUGCCGCGGGAGGCCACGCCGUAAAACAACCCCAUUUCUAGGUUGACCUCGGAUCAGGUAGGGAUACCCGCUGAACUUAAGC